UACGUAGGGAGCAAGCGUUGUCCGGAAUUACUGGGCGUAAAGGGCGCGUAGGUGGGCGCUUAAGUCAGGUGUGAAAACUCCGGGCUCAACCUGGAGACUGCACUUGAAACUGGGUGUCUUGAGGGCAGGGAGAGGAAAGUGGAAUUCCUAGUGUAGCGGUGAAAUGCGUAGAUAUUAGGAGGAACACCGGUGGCGAAGGCG
rnacentral:rRNA from 1 species